AGAGUUURMUCAUGGCUCAGAACGAACGCUGGCGGCGUGCCUAACACAUGCAAGUCGAACGGGAUUGGGAGCUUGCUCCCAUGAGAGUGGCGCACGGGUGAGUAACGCGUAGAUAAUCUGCCUGAUGAUCCGGGAUAACACUUCGAAAGGGGUGCUAAUACCGGAUAACCCCACGGGGUCUUUGGAUUCUGCRGGAAAAGGGGGGGACCUUCGGGCCUUCUGUCAUCAGAUGAGUCUGCGUAMCAUUAGCUAGUUGGUAGGGUAACGGCCUACCAAGGCUACGAUGGUUAGCUGGUUUGARAGAAUGAUCAGCCACACUGGAACUGAGACACGGUCCAGACUCCUACGGGAGGCAGCAGUGGGGAAUUUUGCGCAAUGGGCGAAAGCCUGACGCAGCAACGCCGCGUGAGUGAUGAAGGCUUUCGGGUCGUAAAGCUCUGUCGAGGGGAAAGAAGUGUAUUGUGGCUAAUAUCCGCGAUACUUGACGGUACCCCUAAAGGAAGCA
rnacentral:rRNA from 1 species